rnacentral:lncRNA from 1 species
GAGAUAACGACGAGAGAGAGAGAGAGAGAGAGAGAAGGAGGCGGGAGAGAGAACCGGCGACGGUGGGGGUGCCGUUUUUCCGGUGAGUUGCAGGCGGCGGCAGUGGUGAUGAAGGUCUGAUGAUGAUGAUGAAGAUCGCGAUGAUGAUGAUGAAGGUCGAUGAUGAUCGAUGAUGAUGAUAACAGAUGAUGACGAUGAAGACGUUGAUG